GACGAACGCUGGCGGCGUGCUUAACACAUGCAAGUCGAACGGAAAGGCCCUGCUCUUGUUGGGUGCUCGAGUGGCGAACGGGUGAGUAACACGUGAGUAACCUGCCCUUGACUUUGGGAUAACUUCAGGAAACUGGGGCUAAUAUCGGAUAGGAGCUCCUGCUGCAUGGUGGGGGUUGGAAAGUUUCGGCGGUUGGGGAUGGACUCGCGGCUUAUCCGCUUGUUGGUGGGGUAGUGGCUUACCAAGGCUUUGACGGGUAGCCGGCCUGAGAGGGUGACCGGCGACAUUGGGACUAAGAUACGGCCCAGAAUCCUACGGGAGGCAGCAGUCGGGAAUAUUGCACAAUGGGCGGAAGCCAGAGACGGCAACGCCGCGUGCGGGAUGACGGGCUUCGAGGUGUAAACAGCUUUCGACUGUGACGAGGAGUGAGUGACGGUAAUGGGUAAGGAAGCAACGGCUAACUACGUG
rnacentral:rRNA from 1 species